GUGCUUGCUUCAGCAGCACAUACACUAAAAUUGGAAUGACAGAGAGAAGAUUAGCAAGGCCCUUGAACAAGGAGGACAGGCAAAUUCAUGAAGCGUCCCAUAUUUUU
ensembl:snRNA U6 U6 spliceosomal RNA